rnacentral:rRNA from 1 species
UACGUAGGGUGCAAGCGUUGUCCGGAAUUAUUGGGCGUAAAGAGCGUGUAGGCGGCCCGGUAAGUCCGCUGUAAAAGUCAAAGGCUCAACCUUUGAAUGUCAGUGGAUACUGCCCGGGCUAGAGUCCGGAAGAGGCGAGUGGAACUCCUGGUGUAGCGGUGGAAUGCGCAGAUAUCAGGAAGAACACCCGUGGCGAAGGCGGUUCUCUGGGACGGUACUGACGCUGAGACGCGAAAGCGUGGGAGCGAACAGG